CAACAGGGAUUGCCCUAGUAACGGCGAGUGAAGCGGCAACAGCUCAAAUUUGAAAUCUGGCGCAAGCCCGAGUUGUAAUUUGUAGAGGAUGCUUCUAGGUAGCGACCGGUCUAAGUUCCUUGGAACAGGACGUCAUAGAGGGUGAGAAUCCCGUAUGUGACCGGCCCGCACCUUCUACGUAGCUCCUUCGACGAGUCGAGUUGUUUGGGAAUGCAGCUCUAAAUGGGAGGUAAAUUUCUUCUAAAGCUAAAUACCGGCCAGAGACCGAUAGCGCACAAGUAGAGUGAUCGAAAGAUGAAAAGCACUUUGGAAAGAGAGUUAAAAAGCACGUGAAAUUGUUGAAAGGGAAGCGCUCACAACCAGACUUCUGGGCGGUGUUCCGCCGGUCUUCUGACCGGUCUACUCACCGUCCCGAGGCCAACAUCAUCUGGGACCGCCGGAUAAGACCUCAGGAAUGUAGCUCCCCUCGGGGAGUGUUAUAGCCUGUGGUGAUGCGGCGCGUCUCGGGUGAGGUCCGCGCUUCGGCAAGGAUGUUGGCGUAAUGGUUGUCAGCGGCCCGUCUUGAAACACGGACCAAGGAGUCUAACAUCUAUGCGAGUGUUCGGGUGUCAAACCCCUACGCGUAAUGAAAGUGAACGGAGGUGGGAAGGGCAACCUGCACCAUCGACCGAUCCUGAUGUCCUCGGAUGGAUUUGAGUAAGAGCAUAGCUGUUGGGACCCGAAAGAUGGUGAACUAUGCCUGAAUAGGGUGAAGCCAGAGGAAACUCUGGUGGAGGCUCGCAGCGGUUCUGACGUGCAAAUCGAUCGUCAAAUUUGGGUAUAGGGGCGAAAGACUAAUCGAACCAUCUAGUAGCUGGUUCCUGCC
rnacentral:rRNA from 1 species